rnacentral:lncRNA from 1 species
ACGAAUCGAAAUAUGGCAACAUUGCUGUCUUAGUAUUCAGAAGAGAUUCCAAUCAUAGAAUAAGUUUGAAAUCAUCCAUUUGAACUGCAGAUAAAUUGUUCCUUCCCUCGAAAGGACCUGCUUUGAUCAAUACCGAUUUCGCCACUCCAGCUAUUGGUUAAGCAGCGGAGUUGAUUGCUUUAACUUUCCCACUACCAUUUUUCAGAACAAGUCCGAGUCACUCUACUUCGGUACAUGCAAG